rnacentral:lncRNA from 10 species
UUGAUUCAGCAGGUUGGAAACGCUCUUCUUUGACUAUCGGCGAAGAAACAUUUGGAAGUUCAUUGCAGCCUAUGGGAAAAACAGAAUAUCCCCAGAAAAAAUUAGAAAGAAUAUAUCUGCAAAACUGCUUUGUGAUGUGUGGAUUCAUCUCACAGAGUUAAAACUUUCUUUGGAACUAGCAGCAGGUUGGAAAAAUCAUUUUGGAGAAUCUGCAAAGGGACAUUUUGAAGCCAUUUGAGGCGUAUGGGUAAAACGGAUUAUCCCUAGAUAAAAAGUAGAAAGAAGCUCUCUGUGUAACUGCUUUGUGAUGUGUGGAUUCAUCUCAUGGAGUGGAACCUUUCUUUUGAUACAGCAGGUUGGAAACACUGUUAUUGCAGAAUCUGCAAAGGGACAUAUAGGAACACAUUGACUCCUAAGGGGAUAAAUCAAAUAUCCCAAGACAAAAACUAGAAGGACGUAUCUGUGAAACUGCUUUGUGAUGUGUGGAUUCUUCUCACGGACUUAAAACUUUCUUUUGAUCCAGCAGAUUGGAAAAACUCUUUUUGGAGAAUCAGCAAAGGGACAUUUGGGAGCUCAUUGAGGCCAAUGGGGAAAAACAAAUAAUCCCCAGAUAAAAACUAGAAAGAAGCUAUCAUUGAAAUUCCUUUGUGAUUUGUGAAUUCAUGGCACAGAGUUAAACCUCACUUUUGAUCCAGCAGGUUGGAAACACUCUUUUUGUAAAAUCCAUGAAGGCACUCCUGGAAGCCCAUUAAGACCUACAAGUAAAAACCAAUAGUCCCCAGAAAAAACUAAAAAGAAGCUAUCUGUGACACUGCUUUCUGAAGUGUGGAUUCAUCUACCAUAGUUAAACCUUUCUUUUGAUUCAGUAGGUUGGAAACAUUCUUUUUGCAGAAUCUGCAAAAAGACAUUUUGGAGCCCUUUAAGUCCUGUGCAGUAAAACUGAAUAUCCCCAGAAAAAAAUGAAAUAGAAGCUAUCUGUGAAACUGCUUUGUGAUGGGUGGAUUCAUAUCACAGAGUUAAACCUUUCUUUUUAUUCAGAAGCUUAGAAACACUCUUUUUGGUGAAUCUACAACCUGACAAUUGGGACUCAACUGAGGCUUAUGGGAAAAAAAAAUAUCCUUAUAUAAAAACCAGAAAGAAGCUAUCUGUAAAACUCCUUUGUGAUUUGUGUAUUCAUCUCACAGUGUUUAACAUUUCUUUUUAUGCAGCAGGUUGGAAACACUGUUUUUGGAUCAGCUGUGAAAAGCACAUUGAAGUUUAUGGGAAAAAAACUAUCCCCAGAUAAAAACUGGAAAGAAGUUAUUUGUGAAACUGCUUUGUGAUAUGAGAUUUCCUCUCACAGACUUAAAACUUUCUUUUGAUUCAGCAGGUAGGAAACUCUCUUUUUGGAGUAUCUGUGAAGGGACAUUUGAAAGCCCAUUGGAGCCUAUGGGGUAAAACUGAAUAUCCCAAAAUAAAAAGAAGAAAGAAGCUAUCUUUGAAAAUGCUUCAUCAUGUGUGGAUUCGUCUCACAGAGUUAAAAAUUUCCUUUGAUUCAGCAGGUUGGAAACACUCCUUUUUGAGCAUCUGUGAAAAGAUAUUUUGGAACCCAUUGUAGUCUGUCAGGAAAAACAGAAUAUCCCCAGAUAGAAACUAGAAAGAAGCUAUCUGUGAAACUGCUUUUGAAGUGUGGAUUCAUCUCUCAGAGUUAAACUUUUCUAUUGAUUCAGCAGGUUGAAAAACUCUUCUCCCUGAAUCUCUGAAGGGACUUUGGGGAGCAUAUUGAGGCCUAUUGGGCAAAACUGAAUAUCCCCCCUACCAAAAAAAAAAAAAAAAAAAAACUACAAAUAACCUAUAUGUGAAAUAGAUUUUUAAUGUGUGGAUUCUUCUCACAGAGUAAAACUUUUCUUUUGAUUCAGCCGAUAGGAAACACUGUUUUUGGAGAAUCUGCAAAGUGACAUUUUGGAGCCCAUUGAGGCCUGUUGGGAAAAAACGAAUAUCCCCAUAUAAAAACUAGAAAGAAGCUGAUAGUGAUCCUGCUUUGGGAUGUGUGGAUUCAUCUCAGAGAGUUAAAACUUUCUUUUGAUUCAGCAGGUUCAAAACACUUUUCUUGGAGAAUCUGAGAAUGGACAUUUAGGUGCCCAUUGAGGCCUAUGUGGAAAAAAUGAACACUGAGAAAAAAUUAGAAAGAAGCUAUUUGUGAAACAGCUUUGUGAUGUGUGAAUUCAUCUCAAAGAGUUAAGCCUUUCUGUUGAUCCAGCAGGUUGGAAACACUCUUUUUGAAGUAUCUUUGAAGGAACAUUUGAGAGCCCUUUGAGGCCUAUGGGGAAAAACCAGAUUUCCCCAGAUAGAAAGUAGAAAAAAGCUAUCUGUGAAACUGCUUUGUGAUGUGUGAAUUCACCUCACAGAGUGAAAGUGUACCUUUGAUUCAGCAGGUUGGAAACACUCCUUUUGGAGAAUCUGUGAAGGAACAUUUCGGAGCCCAUUGAGACCUAUAUGGAAAAAGGAAAUAUCUCCAGAUAAAAACUAGAAAGAAGCUAUCUGUGAAACUGAUUUGUGAUGUGCGGAUCCAUCUCACAGAGUUAAAACUUUCCUUUGAUUCAGCAGGUCGGAAACACUCUUUUUGGAGCAUCUGCAGAAAGACAUUUCAGAGCCCAUUGUGGCCUUUCAGGAAAAACAGAAUAUCCCCAGGUAGAAAUUGAAAGAAGCUAUAUGUGACACUGCUCUUUGAAGUGUGGAUUCAUCUCACAGAGCUAAAUGUUUCUUUUGAUUCAGCAGGUUGAAAAAACUCUUUUCCGAGAAUCUCCAAAGGGACAUUUGGGAGCACAUUGAGGCCUAUGGUGCAAAACCAAAAAUCCCCUCCAAAAAAACUAGGCAGAAGUUAUCUAUGAAACAGAUUUUUAAGUGUGAAUUUAUCUCACAGAGUUAAAACUUUCUUUUGAUUCAGAAAGUAGGAAACACUCUUUUUGGAGAAUCUGCAUAGAGACAUUUGAGAGCCCAUUGAGGCAUAUGGAUAAAAAUCAAAUAUCCUUAGAUGAAAACUAGAAAGAAGCUAUCUGUGAAAGUGUUUGUGAUACAUGGAUUCAUCUCACAGAUUUAAAUCAAUCUUUUAAUUCCCCAGGUAGGAAACACUCUUUUUGGAGAAUCUGUGAAGGGAUAUUUGGGAGCCCAUUGAGGCCAAUGAAAAAAAACACCAGAUAAAAACUAGAAAGUGCCUAUCUUUGAAACGUCUUUGUGAUGUGUGGAUUCUUGUCACAGAGUUAAACCUUUCUUUUGAUUCAGCAGUUUGGAAACAGUCUUCUUGGAGGAUCUGUGUAGGGUCAUUUCAGGGCCCAUUGACGUCUAUGGGGAAACACAAAAUAUCCCUAGACAAAUACUAGAAAGAAAUAAUUCAUAAAACUUAUUUAUGAUGUGUGGAUUCAUCUCAGAGAGUUAAACCAUUCUUUUGAUUCAGCAGGUUGGAAACACUCUUUUUAAAGAAUCUGCAAAGGGACAAUUAGGAGCCCUCUGGGACCUGUGGGAAAACACCAAAUAUCACGAGAUAAGAACUAGAAGGGAGGUAUCUGUGAAACUGCUUUGUGAGGUGUGGAUUAAUCUCACAAAGUUAAACUUUUUUUUGAUUCAGCUGGUUGGAAACGCUAUUUUUGGAAAAUCUGUGAAUGGACAUUUGGGAGCCCUUUGAGGCCUAAGGGGAAAAAUUGAACAUACCCAUAUAAAAACUAGAAAGAAGCUAUAUGCUAAACUGCUUUGUGAUGUGUGGAUUCAUCUCACAGAGUUAAACCUUUCUUUUCAUUCAUCCAGUUCUAAACACUUUUUUUGGAGAAUCUGCAAAGGGACAUUUGGUAGCCCUUUGAGGCCUAUGGGGAAAAACUGAACAUCUCCAGAUGAAAACUAGAAAGAAGCUAUGUGUGAAACUGCUUGUGAUGUGUGGAUUCAUCUCACAGAGUUUAAAGUUUCCUUUGAUUAAUUAGGUUGAAAAUGCUAUUUUUGCAGAAUCUGCAAAAAGACAUUUUUAAGCCCAUUGAGGCCUAGGUGGCAAAAUUGAAUGUCCCAAGAUAAAAACUAGAAAGAAGCUGUCUGUAAAACUGCUAUAAGAUGUGUGAAUUCAUCACACAGAGUUAUACAUUUCUUUUGAUUCAGCUUGUUGGAAACAUUCUUUUUAAUGAAUCCAUGAAGAGACAUUUGGGAGCCCAUUGGGGCUUAUGGGGAAAAACUGAAUAUUUGCAAAUAAAAAGUAGAUAGGAGUUAUCUGUGAAACUGCUUUGUGAUAUGUGAAUUCAUCUCACAGAGUUAAACAUUUCUCCUGAUUCAGCAGGUUGGAAAAACUCUUUAAAGAGAAUCUGCUAAAGGAUAUUUGGGAGACCUUUGAGGACAAUGGGGCAAAAUUGAAUGUUCCCAGAUCAAAACUAGAAAGAAGCUAUCUGUGAAACUGCUUUUUGAUUUCUGGAUUCCUCUCACAGAGUUUAACCCUUCUUUUGAAUCAGCAGCUUUUAAACACUCUUUUUGGAGUAUCUGUGAAGGGACAGUUUGGAUCCCAUGGAGGCCUAUGGAGAAAAACUGAAUAUUUCCAGACAAAAGCUAGAAAGCAGCACAUUGAGACCUAUGGGAAAAAAAUGGAUAUCCCCACAUAAAAUCUAGAAAGAAGCUAUUUUUGAAACUGCUUUGUGUUGUGUGGAUUCAUCUCACAGAGUUUAAUCUUCUCGUCAUUCUUCAGGUGGAAAACUCUCUUUUUUGAGAAUCUGUGAAGGGACAUUUGGGCCGUUCGAUACCUCUAGGGAGAGCAAAAUAUCCACCAAUAAACACCAGAAAGAAACAAUCUAUGAAACUGCUUUCUGAUGUCUGGAUACAUCUCACAGAGGUAAAAUUUUCUUUUGAUUCAGCAGUUUGGAAACACUAUUUUUGUAGAAUCUAUGAAGGGACAUUUCAGAGCCCUUUGAGGCCUAUUGAGAAAAAAUGAAUAUCCCCAAAUAAAAACCAGAAAGAAGCUAUUUAUUUGUGAAAAUGCUUUGUGAUGUGUGGAUUCAUCUCAGAGUUAAACCAUGCAUUUGAUUCCACAGGUUGGAAACACUCUUUUUGCAGAAUCGUUGAAGAAACAAUUGGGAACCCAUUGAGCUCUAUGGGGAAAUACUUAAUAUCCCAAGAUAAAAACUAGAGUGAACAUAUCUGUGAAUCUGCUUUGUGAUGUGUGGAUUCAUCUAAAGAGUUAAAAGUUUGUUUUGAUUUAGCAGGUUGGAGACACUUUUUUUCUAGAAUCUACUAUGUGACAUUUGGAACUUAUUGAGAGCUAUGGGAAAAGACAAAUUAUCCCAAGAUAAAAACUAGAAAGAAACUCUCUGUGAAACUGCUUUAUGAUGUGUGGAUUCAUCUCACAGACUUAAAAUUUUCUUUUGAUUGAGCAUGUUAGAAACACUCUUUUUGGAGUAUCUGCCAAGGGACACUUGGGAACCCACUGAGGCCUGUGGAGAACCACAGAAUAUCCAGAGACAAAAAUUAAGCAAAACUGUCUGUGAAAGUGCUUUUUGACGUGUAGAUUCCUCUCACAUAGUUAAACCUUUCUGUAGAUUCAGCAGUUUUGAAACACUAUUUGGAGAAUCUGUGAAGGGAUAUUUUGAAGCCCAUAGAGGCCUACCAAAAAAAAAACCUAAAUAUCCCCAGAUAAAAUCUAGAAACAAGCUAUCUUUGAAAUUACUUUGUGAUGUGUGGAUUCAUCUCUCAGAAUUCAACGUUUCUUUUAAUCCAGCAGGUUGGAAACACUCUUUUCAAAGUAUCUGUGAAGGGAUAUUUGGGAACCCCUUGAGGCAUGUGGGGAAAAACAGAAUAUCCCCAGAGAAAAACUAGAAAGAAGCUACUUGUGAAACUGCCUUGGGAUGUGUGGAUUCAUUGCAUGGAGUUAAAUGUUUCUUUUGAUUUAGGAGGUUGGAAACACUCUUUUUAAAGAAUCCGUGAAGGGACAUUUGGAAGCCCUCUGAGACCUGUGGAAAAACACAGAAUAUCCCGAGAUAAAAACUAGAAGGAAGGUAUCUGUGAAACUGCUUGGUGAGGUGUGGAUUCAUCUCACAAAGUUAAACAUUUUUUUUUGAUUGUGCUGGUUGGAAACACUAUUUUUGGAAAAUCUGUGAAUGGACAUUAGGGAGCCCUUUGAGACCUAUGCAGAAAAAUUGAACAUCCCCAGAUAAAAACUAGAAAGAAACUAUCUCUGAAACUGCUUUGUGAUGUGUGGAUUCAUCUCACCGAGUUAAACCUUUCUUUUGAUUAGGCAGGUUGGAAAAACUUAUUUUGGAGAAUCUGCAAAGGGGCAUUUCAGAAUCCAUUGAUGCCUAUGGGGAAAAACUGAAUAUCAGUAGAUAACAACUAGAGAGAAGUUACCAGUGAAACUACUUUGUGAUGUGUGAAUUCAUGUUAAAGAGUAAAACCUUUAUUUUUCUUCAGCAUGUUGGAAGCACUCUUUUUGGAAGAUCUGUGAAAGGACAUUUUGGAGACCAUUGAGGCCUACAGGGAAAAACCGAAUUUCCCAGAUAAAAACUGGAAAGAAGAUAUCUGUGAAAUUGUUUUACAAUGCGUGGCUUCAUCUCACAGUUAAACAUUUUUUUUUUUAUUCAAGAGGUUGGAAACACUCUUGUUGGAGAAUUCUCAAAGGGACAUUUGGGAGCCCACUGAGUCCUGUGGGGAAACACCAAAUAUCCACAGAUAAAAACUAGAAGGAAGCUAUCUGUGAAACUGUUUUGUGAUGUUUGGAUUCAUCUCUAAGCAGCAAACGUUUCUUUUGAUUCAGCACGUUGGAGACAGUCUUUUUGGAGUAUCUGCAAGGAGAUAUUUGGGAGCCCACUGAGGCCUGUGGGGAAAAACAAACUAUACCCAGACAAAAACUAGAAAGAAGUUUCCUGUGAAACUGCUUUGGGAUGUGUGGAAGCACUGCAGAGAGUUCAAGUUUUCUUUUGAUUCAGCAGGUUGGAAACACUCUAUUUAGAGAAUCUGCAAAAGAACAUUUGAGAGCCCAAUAAGCCCUUGGAAAAACACCGAAUAUCCCAAGAUAAAAACUAGAAGGUAGCUAUCUGUGAAAAUGCUUUGUUAUGUGUGGAUUCAUGUCACAGAGUUAAACAUUUUGUUGGAUGCAUCAGGUUGGAAACACUCUUUUUGUAGAAUUUGCUAAUGGACUUAUAGGAGUCCAUUGAGGCCUAUAUUUAAAAAGUAUAUCCCCAAGUAAAAACAAGAAGCAAUCUAUCUGUAAAACUGCUUUCUGUUUUGUGGAUUCAUGUCACAGAGUUAAACUUUUCUUUUGAUCUAUCAGGUUGGUAACACUCUUAUUGGAGAAUCAGCGAAGGGAAAUGUGGGAGCCUUUUUAGGCCUAUGGGGAAAAACUCAAUAUUUCCAAAUAAAAACCAGAAAGAAGCUAUUUGUGAAACUGCCUUGUGAUGCGUGGAGUCAUCUCACAGUGUUAAUUUGACUCAGUAGGUAGAAACACUCUUUGUGGAACCUGCAAAGGAGUAUUUGGUAGCCCUUUGAGGCCUACUGAGAAAAACCUAUUAUACCCAGAUAAAAACUAGAAAGAAGCUAUCUGAGAAAUUGCUUUGUGAUGUGUGAAUUCAUAUUACAGAGUUACAACUUUCUCUUGAUUUUGCAGGUUGGAAACACUCUGUUUGGAAUAUCUGCAAAGGGACUUUUGGGAGCCCAUUGAGGCCUAUGGGGAAAAACCAAAUAUUCCCAGACAGAAACUAGAAAGAAGAUAUCUGUGAAACGCUUUGUGAUGUUUGGAACCCUCUCACAGAGUUAAACCUUUAUUUUUAUUCAGGAGGAUUUAAACACUCUUUUUGGAGAAUCUUCAAAGGGACAUUUGGGAGCCUAUUGAGGCCUAUGGAGAAAAACUGAAUAUUCCCACAUAAAUCUAGAAAGAAGCUAUCUGUGAAACUGCUUUGUGAUGUGUAGCUUCAUCUCAAAAAAUUAAACUUUUCUUUUGAAUCACCACGUUGGAAACAUUCUUCUUGGAGGAUCUGGAAAUGGACAUUUGGAAGUCCAUUGAUGUCUGUGGAGAAAAAAAAAUAUCCCCAGACAAAAGUAGAAAGAAGCUGUCUGUGAAACUGCCUUGUGAUAUGUGGAUCAUCUCACAGAGUUAAACCUUACUUUAAAUUCAGCCAGUUAAAAAACUUUUUUGGAGAAUCUGCAAAGGGACGUUUGGGAGCCCAUUUAGGCUUAUGGAAAAAAUGUAAUAUCCCCAGAUAAAAAUAAGAAAAAUCUAUUCUUGAAACUGCUUUGUGAGGUGUGGAUUCACCUCCCAGGGUUAAAACUUUCUUUUGACUCAGAAGGUUGGAAACACUCCUUUUGGAGGAUCUGCGAAGGGCCAUUUUGAAGCCCAUUGAUGCUAUUUUGUUAAACUAAAUAUCCCUAAAUAAAAACUACAAAGAAACUAUCUGUGAAACUGCUUUGUGAUGUGUGGAUUCAUUUCACAGUGUUAAACCUUUCUUUUGAGUCAGCAGGUUGGAAAUACUGUUUUUAGAGAAUCUGCAAAGAAACAUUUAGGAGCCCAUUGAGGUCUCUGGGGAACAACAGAAUAUCCCAGAUAAAAAGUAGAAAGAAGCUAUCUGUGAAACUGCUUUGUGAUGUGUGGAUUCAUCACACAGAUUUAAACAUUUCUUUAGAUGCAGCCAGUUUGAAGCACUCUUUCUGGAGAAUCUGUGAAGGGAUAUUUGAAUCUCAAUGUGGCAUAGAAGGAAAAACUGAACAUCCCCAGAUAAAAACAAGAAAGAAGCUAUCUGUUAAUGGCUUUGUGGUGUGUGGAUUCAUCUCACUGACUUAAAUCUUUCUUUGAACUCCGUAUGUUGGAAGCACUCUUUUUGGUGGAUCUGUGAAGGGACUUUUUGGAGCACAUUGAGGCCUAUGGGGGAAAAUAAAAUAUCCCCAGAUUAAAUCUAGAAAGAAGCUUUGUGUGAAACUGCUUUGUGAUGUGUAGAUUCAUCUCACAGCGUUGAACCUUUCUUUUGAUUCAGCAGGUUGAAAACACUACUAUUGGAGGAUUUGUGAUGGGACAUUUGGGAACCCAUUGAGGUCUAUAGGGAAAAACCGAAUAUUCCUAGAAACAAAAUUUGAAAAUUAUUUGCUGUGGAACUGAUUUGUGAUGUGUUAAUUCAUCUCACAUAGGAAAAGAUUUCUUUUGAUUCAGCAGGUUGAAAACACUUUUUUUUGUACAAUUUGCGAAGGGACAUCUGGGAGCUCAUUGAGGCCUAUGGGGAAAAAACGAAUAUAUCUAGAAAAAAAUUAGAAAGAAGCCAUUUGUGAAACUGCUUGGUGAUAUAUCGAUUUAUCUCAAAGAGUUAAAGUUUCUUUUGAUUCAGCAGGUUAGAAACACUCUUCCUAGAGAAUCAUUGCAGAGGUUUUAUUGGCCCAUUGAGGCCUAUGGGGCAAAACCAAAAAUCUCCAGAUAAAAACUUGAAAGAAGGUAUCUGUGAAACUGCUUUGUGAUGUGUGGAUUCAUUUCACGAUUAAACUUUCCUUUUGAUUAAGCAGGUUGGAAACAUUCUUUUUGGAGAAUCUGUGGAGGGAAAUUUUGGGAGUCCAUUGAGGUCUGUGGGGAAAAACUGAAUAUCAGCAGAUAUACACCCAAAUAAAAACUAGAAAGAAGGUAUGUGUGAAACUGCUUUGUGAUGUGUGGAUUCAUCAAACAGAGUUAAACUUUUC